rnacentral:rRNA from 1 species
AACGAACGCUGGCGGCAUGCCUAACACAUGCAAGUCGAACGAGACCUUCGGGCCUAGUGGCGCACGGGUGCGUAACGCGUGGGAACCUGCCCUUAGGUUCGGAAUAACUCCCCGAAAGGGGUGCUAAUACCGGAUAAUGUCUUCAGACCAAAGAUUUAUCGCCUUUGGAUGGGCCCGCGUUGGAUUAGCUAGUUGGUAGGGUAAAAGCCUACCAAGGCGACGAUCCAUAGCUGGUCUGAGAGGAUGAUCAGCCACACUGGGACUGAGACACGGCCCAGACUCCUACGGGAGGCAGCAGUGGGGAAUAUUGGACAAUGGGCGAAAGCCUGAUCCAGCAAUGCCGCGUGAGUGAUGAAGGCCUUAGGGUUGUAAAGCUCUUUUACCCGGGAUGAUAAUGACAGUACCGGGAGAAUAAGCUCCGGCUAACUCCGUG